GCCGCGUUAACUCAGUUGGUCAGAGUGCUGCUCUUGUAAAGCAGAUGCCGUCGGUUCGAUUCCGACACGCGGCUCCG
rnacentral:tRNA from 1 species